UCCAAACAAAACCCUAGCAGAUGACUUGAUUGCUGGUGCUUUUCCCAACACAGCACCUAACCAUCCAAACACCAUUAAAGCUAUGGUGACAGCAGCAACAACAGCUCCAAUUCUCACUUUGUAAUCUCUUAUAAAAGAUGCAGCCAGUAAUGGCACAAUUGCACCUACUGAAAAUGCUAGAGCUGAUGCUGCUGCUGCUUGUGCUGGAUUAGGCAAGUCAUUUUUUUCGUCCUCGUGAUCUCCUUGGAUUUUAUUUCUUCUCUUAUUAUCUCUCUUCAUUUGAGCAAUUUCAAUAUCGAGCUGAGAAUAAACGGACACAAAUUCUCCUAUAGCCAUAGAACAUGCGCCGGCCACUAGGCCGGCGAAUCCAGUAAGGAUCAUGACUUUUAUGUCCUUUUUGACAGCACCAAUUCCCAUCAUUAAUGAUGCGGUUGAAACCAACCCAUCAUUGGCUCCGAGCACAGCUGCUCGGAGCCACUGAGAACGUUUUGAGUAAUCAAACUCUUUUUCUUCAACUUGUUGAUGAUCUAGGCUUAUUUGUUGUUGCUCCAUAUCAGGAUUCAUAGAGAGAGUGAACUUUGAUUCUUG
rnacentral:misc_RNA from 1 species